rnacentral:misc_RNA from 1 species
UAUACGCUCAUGGUAUCGACCUCGAAGGGUGCUUCGAUGCCGUUAACCUUGAUAACCUCGACCUGGUGCGCACGAUCCACCGUGACUAUAUCAACGCCGGUGCUGAACUCAUUGAAACUAACACCUACGGUGCGAAUCGUCUCAAACUCGAGCGUUUCGGUUUAGGCGAUAAAGUUGUUG